AACGAACGCUGGCGGCAGGCUUAACACAUGCAAGUCGAACGCGCCGCAAGGGGAGUGGCAGACGGGUGAGUAACGCGUGGGAAUCUACCCAGUUCUACGGAAUAACCCAGGGAAACUUGGACUAAUACCGUAUACGCCCUACGGGGGAAAGAUUUAUCGGAAUUGGAUGAGCCCGCGUAAGAUUAGCUAGUUGGUGGGGUAAUGGCCUACCAAGGCGACGAUCUUUAGCUGGUCUGGGGGGAUGAGCAGCCACAUUGGGCCUGGGACCCGGCCCAAACUCCUAGGGGGGGCAGCAGUGGGGAAUAUUGGACAAUGGGCGCAAGCCUGAUCCAGCCAUGCCGCGUGAGUGAUGAAGGCCUUAGGGUUGUAAAGCUCUUUCACCGAUGAAGAUAAUGACGGUAGUCGGAGAAGAAGCCCCGGCUAACUUCGUGCCAGCAGCCGCCGUAACAC
rnacentral:rRNA from 1 species